GAUUAGUUUGAUCCUGGCUCAGAUUGAACGCUGGCGGCAUGCCUUACACAUGCAAGUCGAACGGCAGCACGGGUGCUUGCACCUGGUGGCGAGUGGCGAACGGGUGAGUAAUGCAUCGGAACGUACCCGGAAGUGGGGGAUAACGUAGCGAAAGUUACGCUAAUACCGCAUAUUCUGUGAGCAGGAAAGAGGGGGAUCGCAAGACCUCUCGCUUUCGGAGCGGCCGAUGUCGGAUUAGCUAGUUGGUGGGGUAAAGGCUCACCAAGGCGACGAUCCGUAGCGGGUCUGAGAGGAUGAUCCGCCACACUGGGACUGAGACACGGCCCAGACUCCUACGGGAGGCAGCAGUGGGGAAUUUUGGACAAUGGGCGCAAGCCUGAUCCAGCCAUGCCGCGUGAGUGAAGAAGGCCUUCGGGUUGUAAAGCUCUUUUGUCAGGGAAGAAAUAGUCUGGGUUAAUACCCUGGGCGAAUGACGGUACCUGAAGAAUAAGCACCGGCUAACUACGUGCCAGCAGCCGCGGUAAUACGUAGGGUGCGAGCGUUAAUCGGAAUUACUGGGCGUAAAGCCGUGCCCAGGCGGUUUUGUAGUCAGAUGUGAAAUCCCCGGGCUCAACCUGGGGAACUGCAUUUGAAACUGCAAGGCUAGAGUGUAACAGAGGGGGGUAGAAUUCCACGUGUAGCAGUGAAAUGCGUAGAGAUGUGGAGGAAUACCGAUGGCGAAGGCAGCCCCUGGGUUCUACUGACCUCAUGCCAAAGCGUGGGGAACAACCGGAUAAAUCCUGGUAGUCAAUCCCGG
rnacentral:rRNA from 1 species